CAAUAGCGUAUAUUAAAGUUGUUGCAGUUAAAAAGCUCGUAGUUGGAUUUCUGUUCUUGGGAUCUGGUCCGCCUCACGGUGAGCACUGGAUAACUGGGGACAUCCUCUCGAAGGCGGCAGGUGCACUUGAUUGUGUGUUUGUUGAAUGCGGGACCUUUACUUUGAAAAAAUUAGAGUGUUCAAAGCAGGCGUCGGCUUGAAUACAUUAGCAUGGAAUAAUGGAAUAGGACUUUGGUUCUAUUUUGUUGGUUUCUAGGACCGAAGUAAUGAUUAAUAGGGACAGUUGGGGGCAUUAGUAUUUAAUUGUCAGAGGUGAAAUUCUUGGAUUUAUGAAAGACUAACUACUGCGAAAGCAUUUGCCAAGGAUGUUUUCAUUAA
rnacentral:rRNA from 1 species